rnacentral:rRNA from 1 species
CUAAUGAAUGCGAGUCGAACAGACUACGGUAAUCGUAACUGCUUUCGGGCAGUUACACUCUCCGUAGUUAGUGGCAAACGGGUGGGUAACACGUGGGUAACGUGCCUUCAGGACGAGGAUAACGGGGCGAAAGCCCUGCUAAUACUCGAUGGACUGCCCCCGCUAUGGCGGGGACCAGUAAAUGCUCCGGCGCCUGGAGAUCGGCCCGCGGCCCAUUAGCUUGUUGGUGAGGUAACGGCUCACCAAGGCGACAAUGGGUAGCUGGUCUGAGAGGACGAUCAGCCACACUGGGACUGAGACAUGGUCCAGACUCCUACGGGAGUUAGCAUCCGGGAAUCUUGCACAAUGGGCGCAAGCCUGAUGCAGCGACGCCGCGUGGGUGAUGAAGGUCUGCGGAUCGUAAAGCCCUGUCAGGAGGGAAGACACCCGACUGUACCUCCAAAGGAAGCCCCGGCUAACUACGUGCCAGCAGCCGCGGUAC